rnacentral:rRNA from 1 species
GCCAGCAGCCAUAUCACCCUGCAGCUCUAAAAUGACAACCCACUGAACCUCAGCAGGGUGGAGCCUGGUCAGUACCUGGAUAGGAGACCUCCUGGGAAGCUAUGGUUGCUGCUGGAA